GGUUACUGCUAUCGAGGUUCCACUAAGCCAUGCGAGUCGAAUGUAGCAAUACAUGGCGUACUGCUCAGUAACACGUGGACAACCUACCCUUAGGCCUGGGAUAACCCCGGGAAACUGGGAAUAAUACCGGAUAUCUCGCGAAUGCUGGAAUGCGUCGCGAUAGAAAGCUCCGGCGCCUAAGGAUGGGUCUGCGGCCUAUCAGGUAGUAGUGGGUGUAACGUACCUACUAGCCUACGACGGGUACGGGUUGUGAGAGCAAGAGCCCGGAGAUGGAUUCUGAGACACGGAUCCAGGCCCUACGGGGUGCAGCAGGCGCGAAAACUUUACAAUGCUGGAAACAGCGAUAAGGGGACCUCGAGUGCCAGGAUACAAUCCUGGCUGUCGUAAUGCCUAAAAAGCAUUGCAUAGCAAGGGCCGGGCAAGACCGGUGCCGGCCGCCGCGGUAACACCGGCGGCUCGAGUGGUAACCGCUAUUAUUGGGUCUAAAGGGUCUGUAGCCGGCUGACUAAGUCUCUUGGGAAAUCUGGCAGCUUAACUGUCAGGCUUUCAGGAGAUACUGAUCGGCUCGAGACCGGGAGAGGUGAGAGGUACCUCAGGGGUAGGGGUGAAAUCUUGUAAUCCCUGUGGGACCACCUGUGGCGAAGGCGUCUUACCAGAACGGGUUCGACGGUGAGGGACGAAAGCUGGGGGCACGAACCGGAUUAGAUACCCGGGUAGUCCCAGCCGUAAACGAUGCUCGCUAGGUGUCAGGCAUGGCGCGACCGUGUCUGGUGCCGCAGGGAAGCCGUGAAGCGAGCCACCUGGGAAGUACGGCCGCAAGGCUGAAACUUAA
rnacentral:rRNA from 1 species